rnacentral:rRNA from 1 species
CGGACGGGUGAGUAGGCGUGGGUAACCUGCCUUGGUACAGGGGAUAACAGUUGGAAACGGCUGCUAAUACCGCAUAAGCGCACGGCAUCGCAUGAUGCAGUGUGAAAAACUCCGGUGGUAUAAGAUGGACCCGCGUUGGAUUAGCUUGUUGGUGGGGUAACGGCCUACCAAGGCGACGAUCCAUAGCCGGCCUGAGAGGGUGAACGGCCACAUUGGGACUGAGACACGGCCCAG